UUCAUUACCGGAACUGGUUUCAUGGAUUGGUCACUUUCCUAAUUAGCUCAUGUGUAUAAAGACAAUGUCUAAGUUUACUCGUUGAAGAUGAAAGUCAUGGUAGCCAUGUAAGUUUGGGCUAGUAAAUGGGGUUUCACUGAUCUAAUCAAAGAUUAGCAGUUAAAUAAUAUAUUAAUCUUAUCUUUCACCUCUUAAUCUCACCCUUUUGAAGCAGCAGGACACAAGCCCACAAGGCCACAACCAUCACCAUCUUUAAUUGUAUAAUGUAAUUUUGUUGAACAAAUUAAUCCAGGCUUCC
rnacentral:lncRNA from 1 species